UACGAAGGGGGCUAGCGUUGUUCGGAAUACUGGGCGUAAAGCGCACGCAGGCGGAUUGAUAAGUCAGGGGUGAAAUCCCGGGGCUCAACCUCGGAAUUGCCUUUGAUACUGUCUGUCUUCGAGUUCGGGAGAGGUUGGCGGAAUUCCUAGUGUAGAGGUGAAAUUCGUAGAUAUUAGGAAGAACACCAGUGGCGAAGGCGGCCAACUGGCCCGAUAC
rnacentral:rRNA from 1 species